rnacentral:misc_RNA from 1 species
UCUCCGUAGGUGAACCUGCGGAGGGAUCAUUACAGAGUUCAUGCCCUAACGGGUAGAUCUCCCACCCUAUGUUAUCAUCACUUCGUUGCUUUGGCGGGCCGUCAGGCCUCGGCUUGGCUACCGGCUCUCGCUGGUAAGCGACCGACAGAGAACCCCAAACCCUGAAUAUCAGUGUCGUCUGAGUACUAUAUAAUAGUUAAAACUUUCAACAACGGAUCUCUUGGUUCUG